rnacentral:lncRNA from 1 species
AAGUCUCGUCACAAAAUCAAAAAUGAAACAAAUCCAGCAUUUGAAGAGUACGUAGACUUGCAGUUUGGCUGCUUCACCUGUUGGAGGUCGCAAUCUGCUGGGUCCCAUCCCCAGGCCCCAGUUCCAGUCACACCCUCAGUCCCAGUCUUGUCCAGCCCCAGUCUUGUCCCAGUCUUGUUCCAGUCCCAGUCUUGGCCCAGCCCCAGUCUUGUCCCAGUCCCAGUCUUGUCCCAGUCCCAGUCUUGUCCCAGCCCCAGUCUUGGCCCAGCCCUAGUCUUAUCCCAGUCUUGUCCCAGUCCCAGUCUUGUCCCAGUCCCAGUCUUGUUCCAGCCCCAGUCUUGUCCCAGUCUUGUUCCAGUCCCAGUCUUGUCCCAGUUUUGUGGUGUGGUGUCAGAUAUUAGUGGUAAUAUAAUGUGUGGUGUCAGAUAUUU